AUUUCACGUAGUGCUAUUGAUGUGGAUUAUUCCUGAAACCUACAUCUUAUACAUUCGAGUGUCAUUUAUGGAAGUCACAAAUGUCUAAGUAGGGGAAAAAUUCAUGGCUUUAAUUUUGUUAACUGUGGCUCAGUUCUGGAGCAGUAAGUCACAAAUGAAAAUCAAAUGGCACCCUAUUGGGUCAGUAGCUAAUAGCAAAACCUUUAUCUCAGAGAAGCAAUUUACCAAACUCAGAGUUAAAGGGACAAUGCAAGUAAGGAUGGUGUAGUGGGUAGCUGAGUGAUAACUCCAGGGUGAUACUUGGAAGCGUUCCCUUUCCUUUGCUAUGGAGAUAAAGAGAGUGGACAGGGCAUGGCUGUAUACACCUGUAAUCCCAAAAGACUCAGGAGAUGGAGAGAGGAAGAUGGCAAGUUCAAGGCCAGCCUCAAAUUUAGGGAGACCUCAUCUCAAAACAAAACAAAACAAAUGUUGGGUAUAUAGCUCAGUGGUUCAAUUCCAUAUAGAUAGAUAGAUAGGUAACAUGGAAGUCCUGUGAAUGUGCCGAGGAGUGUUUCUUUAGCACUGAUAACAUGGCAGUCAUAAAUCUAGGGACAC
rnacentral:lncRNA from 1 species